rnacentral:rRNA from 1 species
CCUACGGGUGGCAGCAGUGAGGAAUAUUGGUCAAUGGACGCAAGUCUGAACCAGCCAUGCCGCGUGCAGGAAGACGGCUCUAUGAGUUGUAAACUGCUUUUGUACGAGGGUAAAAUCUGAUACGUGUAUCUGUCUGAAUGUACCGUACGAAUAAGGAUCGGCUAACUCCGUGCCAGCAGCCGCGGUAAUACGGAGGAUUCAAGCGUUAUCCGGAUUUAUUGGGUUUAAAGGGUGCGUAGGCGGUCGGUUAAGUUAGCGGUGAAAUCCCGAGGCUCAACUUCGGAAUUGCCGCUGAAACUGGUAGGCUAGAGAGUAGUAGCGGUAGGCGGAAUGUGUGGUGUAGCGGUGAAAUGCUUAGAGAUCAUACAGAACACCGAUUGCGAAGGCAGCUUACCAAGCUGCAUCUGACGUUGAGGCACGAAAGCGUGGGGAGCAAACAGGAUUAGAUACCCCAGUAGUC